rnacentral:rRNA from 1 species
UUGCCUUAGAGGGAUACAUUGGAAACGAUGCUAAUACCCCAUAUGCUUUCGAGUGAAAUGGAUUUAUAUUUAUCCGCCUAGAGAGAAGCUCGCGGCUGAUUAGCUUGUUGGUAAGGUAAGAGCUUACCAAGGCGACGAUCAGUAUCUGGUUUGAGAGGACGAUCAGACACACUGGAACUGAGACACGGUCCAGACUCCUACGGGAGGCAGCAGUGGGGAAUUUUCCGCAAUGGGCGNAAGCNUGACGGAGCAAUACNGCGUGAGGGAAGACUGCCUAUGGGUUGUAANNCUCUUUUUUCAGGGAGGAAUCAAUGACG